rnacentral:tRNA from 1 species
GGAUGAAUGAUUAAUUUGGUAUUAAAUGUUUGAUUAUUAUAAAACAUAUUGUAAGCUCCGUAGCCGUGCGGGUAGUGCUAUCAAGCAUUUAAUUGUACCGAGUCAAAUAGUGUGGGUUCGAUUCACUCUUCAGUCA